UUACCUAUUUCCUCAUUCCUGUCACCUUCCUCUGCUGCUCCGUCUUCUGAGAAUUCCCUGGCAACUAAAGAGCUAUGGCUUGGCUAUCAAUGGAGUUACCUGAAAUCUACCUCCCCGACUGGACUCAGACCUCAUGAAGGCACUGACGGGGUCUAGGUGGUCUUGGCACACACACCCGGUGCCCUUCUAGCACAUGGCAGGUCUGUGUUUGGACAAGACUUGGCUGGGCAAUGCGUUCAUCAACAACUGUCUUUGGCCUCACACCUGUCUGAAGGGCUAUCAUCAAAAAGACAGCAAAUAACAAGACAAUGUAAAACCUGAAACCAUAAAACUUCUACAAGAAAACAUAGGCAGUACGCUCUUCGACACCAGUCUUAGUAAUUUUUUUUUCAAUAUGUCUCCUCAUGCAAGGGAAACAAAAGCAAAACUUUUUUUAAAUGGGACUACAUCAAACUAAAAAGCUUUUGCACAAUGAAGGAAACUGUCAACAAAAUGGAAAGGCCACGUACCGAAUGGGAGAAGAUACAUGCAAACAAUAUAUCUGACAAGGGGUUAAUAUGCAAAAUAUACAAAGAACUCAUAUAACUCAAUAUAAACAAAAAACUGAUUUAAAUGUGGGCAGAGGAUUUGAACAGAUAUUUUUCCAAGGAAGAUAUAAGAUGGCCAACCAGCACAUGAAAAGAUGCUCAAUAUGGCUAAUCACCAGGGAAAUGCAAAUCAAAACCACAAUGAGAUACCACCUCACACUCGUCAGCAUGGCUAUUAUCAAAAAGACAACAAAUAACAAGUGUUGGUGAGGAUGUGGAGAAAAGGGAACCCUCGUGCACUGUUGGUGGGAAUGUCAAUUGCUGCAGCCACUAUGGAAAACUGUAUGGAGAUUUCUCAAAAAAUUAAAAAUAAAACGACCAUACAAUCCA